rnacentral:rRNA from 1 species
AGUCUUACACUCCCGGGAAGGGGGUGUGGCGGACGGCUGAGUAACACGUGGCUAACCUACCCUAAGGAGGUGGAUAACCCCGGGAAACUGGGGAUAAUCCACCAUAGGCGAGGAUUCCUGGAACGGUUCCUCGCUGAAAGGCCCAUAGGCUGUUCCCGUCUAUGGGCGCCUUAGGAUGGGGCUGCGGCCUAUCAGGUAGUUGGGGGAGUAAAGGUCCCCCAAGCCGAUAACGGGUAGGGGCCGUGAUAGCGGGAGCCCCCAGUUGGGCACUGAGACAAGGGCCCAGGCCCUACGGGGUGCACCAGGCGCGAAACGUCCCCAAUGCGCGAAAGCGUGAGGGCGCUACCCCGAGUGCCCCCGUAAGGGAGCUUUUCCUCACUCUAAAAAGGUGAGGGAAUAAGCGGGGGGCAAGUCUGGUGUCAGCCGCCGCGGUAAUACCAGCUCCGCGAGUGGUCGGGACUAUUACUGGGCCUAAAGCGCCCGUAGCCGGCCCGGUAAGUCAUUCCUUAAAGACCCCGGCUCAACCGGGGGAAUGGGGGUGAUACUACCGGGCUAGGGGGCGGGAGAGGCCAGCGGUACUCCCGGAGUAGGGGCGAAAUCCUCAGAUCCUGGGAGGGCCACCAGUGGCGAAAGCGGCUGGCUAGAACGCGCCCGACGGUGAGGGGCGAAAGCC